rnacentral:rRNA from 1 species
UCGGUGCUUGCACCGAGAUUCAACAUGGAACGAGUGGCGGACGGGUGAGUAACACGUGGGUAACCUGCCCUUAAGUGGGGGAUAACAUUUGGAAACAGAUGCUAAUACCGCAUAGAUCCAAGAACCGCAUGGUUCUUGGCUGAAAGAUGGCGUAAGCUAUCGCUUUUGGAUGGACCCGCGGCGUAUUAGCUAGUUGGUGAGGUAAUGGCUCACCAAGGCGAUGAUACGUAGCCGAACUGAGAGGUUGAUCGGCCACAUUGGGACUGAGACACGGCCCAAACUCCUACGGGAGGCAGCAGUAGGGAAUCUUCCACAAUGGACGCAAGUCUGAUGGAGCAACGCCGCGUGAGUGAAGAAGGCUUUCGGGUCGUAAAACUCUGUUGUUGGAGAAGAAUGGUCGGCAGAGUAACUGUUGUCGGCGUGACGGUAUCCAACCAGAAAGCCACGGCUAACUACGUGCCAGCAGCCGCGGUAAUACGUAGGUGGCAAGCGUUAUCCGGAUUUAUUGGGCGUAAAGCGAGCGCAGGCGGUUUUUUAAGUCUGAUGUGAAAGCCCUCGGCUUAACCGAGGAAGCGCAUCGGAAACUGGGAAACUUGAGUGCAGAAGAGGACAGUGGAACUCCAUGUGUAGCGGUGAAAUGCGUAGAUAUAUGGAAGAACACCAGUGGCGAAGGCGGCUGUCUGGUCUGUAACUGACGCUGAGGCUCGAAAGCAUGGGUAGCGAACAGGAUUAGAUACCCUGGUAGUCCAUGCCGUAAACGAUGAAUGCUAGGUGUUGGAGGGUUUCCGCCCUUCAGUGCCGCAGCUAACGCAUUAAGCAUUCCGCCUGGGGAGUACGACCGCAAGGUUG